CUCAUUUCAUAUGCUAAGGAAAUGGAAUUGCAAGUGGUUCUUCAAUGACUUAAUAUGAGAAAAUUAGGUCCAACACAUUUUUCUAAACUAAAAACGAGUCUAUUGAAAAAUAAUUUGAGAGAUCAUACCUAAAGGCUAAAAGUGCUGUUUUCAAAUAAGAAAAAAAAUUAAAAAGUCGUGUUUUAAGGGUAACAAAGUUUUGAGUUUUCUGCUAUUCAACACGAUUUACAUCAAAAGAAACUACCGAACAGUAAGCUGAGGAAGAAGACGACAGUGAAAUCACGAAGUACUGCAAAAUACAACCUUCAAAGAACUUAUCAAUUAAAUCACGAAAAUAGAAGAAAAAGAAGAAACCUUCAAAAUCAGAGCCCCACUGGCAGUCGCCGGAGCCGGCGCCGGCAUUCGUCUUCCAGCAACGGCUAACUCCGUACUUUAUUCAGCAAGGUAAAUUUGAUCAAACUCAAACCUGUACUAUAAUGCUGAUCGGAUAUGAUGACGAUGAGGAGGAAAACUAUAUAUGUUUCGAUUCCCCGUGGAGAUUGGUCGGUCUGCUCAUUAGAGUUCCGGACUUCGAAACUUCUGUGUUUCAAGAACUUCAGAGUCUGAACUCUGAAGGAAGAACUACCCAGUGACUUUGCUGAAACAUGCGACAAUCAAAUAUCGUUAGCAUAUUGAGGUUAAAGUUUAUUGUAAAAUAAUUGCCUAAAAAGUGUUUGGCUCUGCUAUUGUAGUAUGUGCAUGUUUGGUUUGCACAUUUAUAUCACAAUCUACUAAAAAAUCUAAUUUUAAUCUCCACCAAACAUCCUUGUUUCGUUCUGGUGACUGUCGAUACCUAAUCUCCACCAAACUAUCCUUUUGCUUGGUUCUGGUGACCAUCGAUACCUAAAUGUUUUAUGGUUGCUUUAUCUUUUUACCUAUAUGGCAAUUGUAUUUAAAAUACUCGGGAACUAGUAAAUAGCCACUUUGGUUUGGCUUGAUAUCGACCCGUAGAACUUUUUGAUUUGUCUUUCUAUGUUGUGAGUGUAUACUGUAAUUUGAUUUCAACUUAUUAAAAUAUAUAUAAGUUGGUUUGUUUUUUUA